rnacentral:rRNA from 1 species
UACGUAGGUGGCGAGCGUUGUCCGGAUUUAUUGGGCGUAAAGCGAGCGCAGGUGGGUUAUUAAGUCUGGUGUAAAAGGCAGUGGCUCAACCAUUGUAUGCAUUGGAAACUGGUAGACUUGAGUGCAGGAGAGGAGAGUGGAAUUCCAUGUGUAGCGGUGAAAUGCGUAGAUAUAUGGAGGAACACCGGUGGCGAAAGCGGCUCUCUGGCCUGUAACUGACACUGAGGCUCGAAAGUGUGGGGAGCAAACAGG